rnacentral:lncRNA from 1 species
UUGGAUGUGGUAUUCGAAGUCAAGGUAAAGGCCAUAGGGGGCUCGAGCUGAGUCCUUAUCUUUAGACAGCAUGUCAAAUCUAGGUGGCCCCUAGAUCGGCCUAUAACAUUUGUGCAGCCUCAGAGGGUAGUUCAACAGCCACCUAGGGGCCGUGGUCAGGCUAGGGGUGGUAAUUGUAUAUGCCGAGGGCAGAGAGCAUCGGGCAGAGGUACUGGUCAGAUAGAGGCAAGGCAGCUUGCGCUAGUUUAUGUUACAUGACACCGAGAUGAGAGAGAUGCUCCUGACAUCAUCAU